AAGGAUCUGAUCAAGAAGCACUCAGAGUUCAUCAGCUACCCAAUUUCUCUCUGGAUUGAGAAGACCACUGAGAAGGAAAUUUCUGAUGAUGAAGAUGAGGAAGAUAAGAAGGAUGAGGAGGGCAAGGUUGAGGAUGUUGAUGAGGAGAAGGAAGAAAAGGAGAAGAAAAAGAAGAAGAUCAAGGAGGUUUCUCACGAGUGGCAGUUGGUCAACAAGCAGAAGCCAAUCUGGAUGAGGAAGC
rnacentral:lncRNA from 1 species